rnacentral:rRNA from 1 species
GAUGAACGCUGGCGGCGUGCUUAACACAUGCAAGUCGAACGGAAAGGCCCAAGCUUGCUUGGGUACUCGAGUGGCGAACGGGUGAGUAACACGUGGGUGAUCUGCCCUGCACUUCGGGAUAAGCCUGGGAAACUGGGUCUAAUACCGGAUAGGACCACAUUUUGGAUGGUGUGGUGGAAAGUUUUUCGGUGUGGGAUGAGCUCGCGGCCUAUCAGCUUGUUGGUGGGGUAAUGGCCUACCAAGGCGUCGACGGGUAGCCGGCCUGAGAGGGUGUACGGCCACAUUGGGACUGAGAUACGGCCCAGACUCCUACGGGAGGCAGCAGUGGGGAAUAUUGCACAAUGGGCGCAAGCCUGAUGCAGCGACGCCGCGUGGGGGAUGACGGCCCUCGGGUUGUAAACUCCUUUCGCUAGGGACGAAGCGUUAUGUGACGGUACCUGGAGAAGAGGCACCGGCUAACUACGUG